rnacentral:rRNA from 1 species
CACGUAGGGAACCUGCCCAUGCGGCCGGGACAACUUCCGGAAACGGAUGCUGAUACCGGAUAAGGAAAGCGAAGGCAUCUUUGCUUUGUUAAAGGAGCUGCAAGGCUCCGCGCAUGGAUGGACCUGCGGUGCAUUAGCUGGUUGGUGAGGUAAAGGCUCACCAAGGCGACGAUGCAUAGCCGGCCUGAGAGGGCGAACGGCCACACUGGGACUGAGACACGGCCCAGACUCCUACGGAAGGCAGCAG